rnacentral:tRNA from 1 species
GGCGAGAUGGCCGAGCGGUCUAAGGCGCUACGUUAAGGAUUUUCCUUAAUACCAUCAUGGUUUCAUGAUUCCGUAGUCCGAAAGGGCGUGGGUUCGAAUCCCACUCUCGUCA